rnacentral:lncRNA from 1 species
GAAUCUUAAGACAAGUUCGAACUAGACCCCCUGAAUUAUUAAGCUCGUGAUAGUUCUUUGAAAUUUUUUUCAAGUAGACGGCUACAAUUACAACAAAACCAGCAGAACAACUAAUCCUAGAGAGAUAACAGCUAUUUCUACUUAUCUCAAUCCUGGAGUGACAGAGGCGGCGACGGCGGUGGAGUGCGGCGAGCCGAACUGGAACGACGGCGGCUGGAGUUGCACGAACUGGAGUGUGCUGCACUGCCGCUGCUGCUGGCGGGCGAGCGAGCGCGGCGUGACUCCAGCGGCGGGCGAUGGAGGGAGAGAAGCAGGGAGCGAGGCAGAGAGGCCGAGCGAAGCAGGGAUCGAGCGGCGAGCGUGACUCCAGCGGCGGGCGGGCGAGCGAAUCGGAGAAGACGACCGGCGAUGGAGGUGAGGCACGCCGACUGAGGGAGAUGGGAGAUGGGAGUGAGUCUAGGGAUGGCAG